rnacentral:rRNA from 1 species
UACGGAGGGUGCAAGCGUUGUCCGGAAUCACUGGGCGUAAAGGGCGCGUAGGCGGUUCCUUAAGCGGGUGGUGAAAGCUCAGGGCUCAACUCUGAGUCGGCCAUGCGAACUGGGGGACUCGAGCACUGUAGAGGCAGGUGGAAUUCCGGGUGUAGCGGUGGAAUGCGUAGAGAUCCGGAAGAACACCGGUGGCGAAGGCGGCCUGCUGGGCAGUAGCUGACGCUGAGGCGCGACAGCGUGGGGAGCAAACAGG